GACACCUCCCAGCCCACCGGACUCCGCCGCCAUUUCCUCGCCGGGCCUAAUGGUUCGGCCAAUCCCAGCGCUCAUCAAGAAGGACUGAGGCUCCGCCAAUCGGAGGCCCCCGAUUUCGACCCUUCGCCUCGGCACGGCCCAAUCCAGUCCCCGGUCCCGCCGCCCCCGGCCCGCCCCCGCGGCGGCCUUUCUCCUCCCUCUUUGUGCGUCUCGCACCGCCGCGGCCCGCCGCGUGAGAGGACGGGCUCCGCGCGCUCCGGCAGCACAGUUGGGUCCCCUCCCCCCGGGAGGCUUGCGAAGGAGAAGCCGCCGCCGGGGAAAAGCAGUUGCCGGUGCCUGUCCCCGGGGGCGCCAUGGCGACCGGAGCGAACGCCACGCCGUUGGACUUCCCAAGUAAGAAGCGGAAGAGGAGCCGCUGGAACCAAGACUCAAUGGAACAGAAUACAGUGAUUCCGGGAAUGCCUGCAGUUAUUCCCCCUGGACUUACUCGAGAACAAGAAAGAGCUUAUAUAGUGCAACUGCAGACAGAAGACCUGACUCGUAAACUGCGCACAGGAGACCUGGGCAUCCCCCCUAACCCUGAGGACAGGUCCGCUUCCCCUGAGCCCAUCUACAAUAGCGAGGGGAAGCGACUUAACACCCGAGAGUUCCGCACCCGCAAAAAGCUGGAAGAGGAGCGGGACAACCUCAUCACAGAGAUGGUUGCUCUCAAUCCAGAUUUCAAGCCACCUGCAGAUUACAAACCUCCAGCAACACGUGUGAGUGAUAAAGUCAUGAUUCCACAAGAUGAGUACCCAGAAAUCAACUUUGUGGGGCUGCUCAUUGGGCCCAGAGGGAACACCCUGAAGAACAUAGAGAAGGAGUGCAAUGCCAAGAUUAUGAUCCGGGGGAAAGAGUCUGUGAAAGAAGGGAAGGUUGGGCGCAAAGAUGGCCAGAUGUUGCCGGGAGAAGAUGAACCACUUCAUGCCCUGGUCACCGCCAACACAAUGGAGAACGUCAAAAAGGCAGUGGAACAGAUAAGAAACAUCCUGAAGGAGGGUAUCGAGACCCCAGAGGACCAGAAUGAUCUACGGAAGAUGCAGCUUCGGGAGUUGGCUCGCUUGAAUGGGACCCUUCGGGAAGACGACAACAGGAUCUUAAGACCCUGGCGGAGCUCAGAGACCCGCAACAUUACCAACACCACAGUGUGUACCAAGUGUGGAGGGGCUGGCCACAUUGCUUCAGACUGCAAAUUCCAAAGGCCUGGUGAUCCCCAGUCAGCUCAGGAUAAAGCACGGAUGGAUAAAGAAUAUUUGUCCCUCAUGGCUGAACUGGGUGAAGCACCUCUCCCAGCAUCUGUGGACUCUACCUUUGGGCCUGCAGCACCACACCCUUGGCCAGCGCACCUCGUCCUGCUGCUCCCGCCAACAACCCACCUCCACUGUCUCUCAUGUCUACCACCCAGAGCCGCCCACCCUGGAUGAAUUCUGGCCCUUCAGAGAGUCGGCCCUACCAUGGCAUGCAUGGAGGUGGUCCUCGUGGGCCCGGAGGUGGCCCCCACAGCUUCCCACACCCAUUACCCAGCCUGACAGGUGGGCAUGGUGGACAUCCCAUGCAGCACAACCCCAGUGGACCCCCACCCCCUUGGAUGCAGCCACCACCACCACCGAUGAACCAGGGCCCCCACCCUCCUGGGCACCAUGGCCCUCCUCCAGUGGAUCAGUACCUGGGAAGUACGCCUGUGGGCUCUGGGGUCUAUCGUCUGCAUCAAGGAAAAGGUAUGAUGCCGCCGCCGCCGCCACCUCCCAGUGGGCAGCCCCCACCCCCUCCCUCUGGUCCUCUUCCCCCAUGGCAACAACAGCAGCAGCAGCCUCCGCCACCCCCUCCGCCCAGCAGCGGUAUGGCUUUCAGUACCCCCUUGCCAUGGCAGCAAAGAUCCCUCCCCGCGGCGGCGAUGGCCCGAGCCAUUAGAGUGAAGACUUUCUGCGCCCAUUGGUGACCCUUCCAGGCAGACAGCCUCAGCAGCGCCCCUGGUGGACGGGAUGGUUCGGCAAAGCAGCCUGAGUUAUUUUUGUGGACGGAAUCGGAACACGCUGGCCCCAUAUCGUAAAAUUUUUAUUAAUUUUUUUCUUUUUCCUUUGUUAUUUCCUUAUCUCUUCCUUUCUUCAGACUCCGUCCAAGGAGAUGCUCUCCCCGGUCUUCUGCUGCAAUUAGAUUCCUUUCCCUUCUCUCCAGUUCUCCUUCCCUUACCAAGGAGAGGGGAGCAAAUUGUUUUGGGCAUGGGCUUUGGCCAUUCACGUCAAGCUGGUUGUGGGGUUCUUUGGUUCUAAGUUUUUCAAGGUGUCAUAGCCACCCCCGAAGAUGUUUAAAGUGUGAGGUUUUUUAAUCUCUGCCACCCUUGUCAAGGGAGUCUUGUACAGUUGCCGAGGGUAGGUUCAUUUCCAGGUUCCGGGAUUCCUAUCCGCCCUGGCGCUCCUGCCAGCAGUGGGUGGGCAGCCUGAGCUCGCUGGGGCUCACCUGCCAGCCUGGAGUUCUUCCCGUGCUCCUUGACCACCUGAGCUGCCUCACAUUCCAUUUGGUCCUCUCCUUCCUGGAAGGCUUUCUUUUGUGUUUUAUUUUAAUCCCAAACGUCUGAAUGUUUUGCAAUGUCUAGGGGUUUGAGCCCCUUGUUCAUUCUCCUUCCUUUUUCCUCCCGCUUCCCUCUCCAUGGAGUGAUUAUGUUGAUGAUAAUGUAUACUGCGCGUUCUCUUCACUGGUUUAUCUGCAGAAAUUUCUCUGGGCUUUUUUUGGUGUUAGAUUCAACACUGCGCUAAAGCGGGGAUGUUCCACUGAAUAAAAGAGCAGUGUGGUUUUCAAAAAAAAAAAAAAA